rnacentral:lncRNA from 1 species
UCUACCCAAGACUGGACUCACUAACUCACGAUUGUCCAUAAAAUACUAAAUACAAAGUCUGAAUUAAACACAAUACUGUUUGUUCCAGUACAAGGACAACAAACGAAAAACAAAGAUAGAAGAGACUCCGAGCCAUGCGGACGUCAGCAAGGCUACCUCGAAAUCUCUGGAUUGAAUUCAGCUCCCACUCAACUACUGUUGUUGUCCAAAACCUGCUCCACCUCCGAAAUCUGUGCAAAACGAUGCACAGAGUGUAGCAUCAGCACAACCGACCCAUGUGCUGGUAAGUGCCUAGCCUAACCCCGGCGAAGUAGUGAUGAGGCUAGACCAGACUACCAUGUAAACUUGUGCAGUUAUAAAAUAUAUAUUGCGGAAAAGUAAAGAGGAUAUAAGUAGUUUAUAAAAGGAGGGGGAACAUGCUGGGGGAAGCAAUAGUUAUAAGUAAGAAGUCUAAUUUCAAAGAUAGUACAACCAACAGAAACUCAAAUCUGGAAGUAGCACAUUUAAUCUAUAAUUUGUAGCGGCGCGCAACCCGAUCGAAUCACUUAACAACACUAUUGUGGCAUGCAACCCGCUGCACAAUUAUCAUUGUUGGGCCGUGCAACCCGACACAUAUUUAUAGUAUUAUUGCGGUAUAUAUAUAUAUACACAGACACACACACACACACACAUACACACACUAAAACUUCUUCCAGGCAAUAGCCACAAACAAGGAGUAAGGGAGUAACAACUAGUGAUAGUUCCCGGCAAGGGAAUAUCACAACACAACUAAAUCCCGGCAAGGGAGAAAAAUCAACAAAACCAAUAAAACAUCCCUGCAAGGGAAAAAAAAUCAACUCUUCCACUUUCUCACACUUCUCACUUUACAAUUCACUUUAUCGUUCAAACAAUCUCUCCAAAGAGUCAUUUCAUAUCAUAUACCUUCUCAAUCUGUAACACAACUUGAGCUAAUGCUCCAUGGAGUAUAUAAUCAUAAUCUCUUUCUCAUGCUCUUUACAGUAUAUAGAAAUCAUCAAUUAAGCAUGGAAGAAUCACAACAAGUUCAGGGUAAAUCUCAAUAUAAGGAUACACGUUCAUGCUAGACAGUAGUGUAUAGAUGCUCAUCACCAUGCCUAUACACCGCACUCAACAAAUAACAAUUAGCAAAUAAGACUCUACUCCUAUUCCCUCAAGCCAAAGUUAGACCAAACACUAACCUCAACCUUCACGGCUAAAUCAAUCCCCAACGACCACUUUCCCUUUCGAAUUCGGCUCCAACUCAAUCAAAUAUAUGAAAUAAUGACUUUAUAAUAUAAAUAAUAGCUAAAUAAAUCAAACACAAUGCCUAAAUAUUGAUUCUCAACUUUUCUUCCAAAAAUUCCAAAAUUGAUCGGGCCCGCUAUUUCAACACACGAGGUUCGAACCAGUUCCAUAUCACCCAUUCACCCACGAGCCUGAAUAUACAAAUUGUUUUCAAAUUCGAUCCUAAAGAGGUCUAAAUAAAAGAAAGUUUAAAAUCCCUAACUCUACCCAUUUCCUCCAAUUUCAGCCCUAUAUUACAUGAUUUGAGCCUAGGAAUUUGAUAAAUGAUGAAGGAAAAUGAAGGAAACGGUUUAAAUAAUACUUACACAAGAACCUUUGGUGAAGAAGAGCUCCAGAAAUCACCCAUGGGCUGUGGAGAAGAGUAGUUCGUGUGUUUUUGGGUGAAAAAUCCCAUCAUUGUUCUAUUUUAAAACUUUAAAAUCACUGGGCGAAAAUUACCCUUUGUGUUCUUGGUAAGGGGAUUGCGUUUGCAAAGGGUUAUCAUAAAGGGAAUUAUGAAUGCAGACGUUCACAUGAAAGCCUAGAAGGAAAAGGGUUGGGGUCCUGGAAUUCCUCUACGAGAACGCAUGGACCCUAACGCGAACGCGGGGAAGGAAACAGCAAAGCUCGGGAUCGUGGUGGUAUGCACGCGAACACGAAGAAUAAAGUUAAGCUGGGCCUCUCAUGGUAAUUUAACCUUUGCUUUCACGAGGGCCCGAACGCAAACGCGAAGAAGGAAGGACACAAAGCUACGCGAACGCGAGGGAGAAAGUGUGAUCGCGAAGAAGGAAAUCCCUGAGAAAAAAAUAUCAGAUUUUUCUGAAACUUUCUACUAAGUUCAAAAUAUCCCGAACUGCCUGCGAAACACUCUCGAGCCCUCGGAGAUCCUAACCAAACACACACACUAACUCAACAACCUCAUACAAACUCAAUUGUGUGAUCAAAUUGCCAAAAUAACAUCAAGAACGAGGAAUCAAACCUCAAAAUCAUCACUUAUUCUUCAAACAUCAUAAACUUUCAUUUUUAGAUAUUUAGGUCCGAAACACGUUAAAUAACGUCUGAUUCCAUCCAAAUUUUGCAGGAGGUUCUUAAGCCACAUAUAAGACCUAUACCGGGCACCAAAACCAAAAUACGCCCCGAUACCAACACCAUCUAAUCAAUUUUCAUUUCAAAUUUACAUAUUAAUUUCAGAAAAAUAAUUUCUUUUAAAAAUUAAUUUCUCUGGCUCGGAACCUUGGAUUUCGAUUCCGGGCAUACGGCCGAGUCCUAUAUUUUUCUAUGGACCCUUCGAGACAGUCAAAUCAUGGGUCCAGGUUCGUUUAUCAAAAAUAUUGACCAAAAUCAAAUUUAAUCAUUUAAAGCCAAUUUUUAGCAAAUUUCAUAAAAUUUAACAUAUAAGCUUUCCGACUACAUGCUCAAUCUGUGCAUGAAAAUCGAGGCAAGUAAAAAUAUUUUCUAGGCCUCGAAAGCACGAAAAGAUAGAGAAAACAAAUGAUGAUCCUUUGGGUCAUCUCAAAAAGUUGGUGGUCAUACCUAGUAAUUAGAAGUGUUGGUACACCCCAACUAGCCUGUUAUCCAUAUUGUUUGGGAGUUAGGAUCCAUUAAAGGAUCAAGUCCGGACAUGAGAAACAAUUUGGAUGUUUCCAUGCUUUGAAUUUUGACUCAAACACAUAGAUGAGAAUGAGGGUAUGGGAUUCGCAACAGUAACAGAUGUAAAGAGAAUAGCAUAUUUAAUACUGAACAUAGACAGCAAAGUAGAUAAAAUUGUAGAAGCUGUAAAGCAAACACAUAGGGAUGAGAUAGAAAACAAAAAUAGAACAUACUAGUUUCAGGGAAACAAGGAAAGAAAAGCAAUAGUCUUGUAAAGCCAAAUCGCAAGCAAAUAGUCAGAAGAUCUUAGAAGAGAGUAGAGUGUUGAAUUGAGAGUGUAACGUGUAAGAGUAUUGAAAUUGAAGGUGUGUUCGAAAGAGAAGGGAUCGUGACAUUUUUAAAGUGUACAAAAGAGCAGAACUAGGUAAGAAAAUAAUUCAAAAAUCAAUUACAGAAGUUCCCCUUUUAAAUUAAGGGAUUCUGAUUUCAAUCGGGUAAAAGAUAAUUAAGGAGAAAGUUUGAUCAAAAUCUUUUCCAAAGCAGUACAAGAAAGGGAUACACAGAGGUUUAUUUAAGGCAAAAGUCUAGUAGUACACAGUUUGUGCCAAUAAGGAAAGGAAAUCAAUAAAUAACCAGUAAAUCACAAAGUUUGAGUUUUGGUAUGAAUAAAUCCACUCAGAAAAAGUAAAGAAAGGUUUUACUUAAAGAAGAUCAGUUACAAUCAAUCUAACCUUAUUUAAUAGAAUUAUGAAUAAAUCACAAGUUGAAAAACCCCCUUUGAAUUAAAAAAUUCCUCAUAUAUAAAGCAUGCAUACAUGUUAAACACAAAGAACUAUCAUGCCAAUUAGAAGAGUCUAGUAUAGAAAAGUUCAGGUCAUAAGCAAAGAGGUUCAAAUUUAGUACAUAGACUCAGAAUGAGUUUGAGAGAGUCCAGGGUUUCAAUCAGAACCCUAGUUCCAAACAAAAGAUCAAAACCCCCAAAUCCUAGGGUUUACUAUCGAGUCAGAUACAGAGAAGAGAAGACAAAUCAUUGAAACAGGCUCAGAGGUCUCUUUCAAAAACUUAUGAGAAAACAUAGAAUAGCAAGUUUGAAGUAACAGAGUGAAGAAAUUGAUUCGAAACAUAGUGAGAGUAAAAAAUACAUGUUUAAGAAGAAAGAAAAAAGAAACCUGAGACUAAAACAAAUUCAGAAAAGAUGGGAGAUAGUAUAGCACUUAAGAGAACAGUAGAAGAAACAUGUUUAAAAGAAUUCAAACAAAGUCCAGAAGAACGUAAAUAAAGAACUUAAGAACUCAGUAGGAAAUACAUACAGUAAAUGGGAUCAACAUACCAGAAGUAUAUCAACAAGACAUAUAGAAAAACACAACAGGAUGAACAUGUGAGCUUGGUGUAGAAGCACAGUAGAACACAAAGCACAGACGAAUCAUGUAUAGUAUAAAGAAAGCAGAAGAAAAUACAUGUGUGGUAGAAAAGAAAACAUACAAAUAUAGUAUAGACAAAUACAUAAAAAGAAAAGAAAAGGAAGAGUCAGAAAAACAUUUUAAGCUUUUCAGAAACCCUAGAUCAGAAAGAAGUAAUUUCUAAAAGAAAAAUUAGGGAAAGCAUUUUAAAACUCCAGUAAAGCGCAGAUAUAGUACAUAUUUAAGAAAACAAUUAGAGAAAAUCUCUAAUACCUAGGGUUUCAGAGGAACCAUAGAAUGAGAAAGGCUUUGGAAAGCUCCGAUCUUGAGUUGGAUGAGUCAGAACCAGGAUCGAAAUGCUUUGCAUACACCAGAGCAAGGCCAGAGAGGCCCCAAAACCAUGGAUCUAAAAAGAUCUGACGGACACCAUUGAGUUCAGACCUCAAAACAUUAAAUCCCAAACAUUUAAGAGUGGAGGGAGGUGAGUAUAGGCCAUUCAUGGCCUGAGAAGCCAUGGAUUCCGGUGAGAUUGCGGUUGAUGGGGGUGAGAGAAGCUAGAGUUUCAGAAACCUUCUUGAGAGUUUAAGAGUGGGAGAGUAUUCAAAAUCGAC